rnacentral:rRNA from 1 species
AACAAACGCUGGCGGCGUGCCUAACACAUGCAAGUCGUACGAGAAAGUCGGCUUCGGCCGAUGAGUACAGUGGCGCACGGGUGAGUAACGCGUGGGUAAACUGCCCCUCGGUCAGGAAUAACCCGCCGAAAGGCGGGCUAAUGCCCGAUAAUACUGACGCUCUGCGGAGUGUCUUUCAAAGAAGGCCUCUGUUUACAAGCUUUCGCCGGAGGAUGAGCCCGCGUACCAUUAGCUAGUUGGCAGGGUAAUGGCCUACCAAGGCAACGAUGGUUAGCUGGUCUGAGAGGAUGGCCAGCCACACUGGAACUGAGACACGGUCCAGACUCCUACGGGAGGCAGCAGUGAGGAAUCUUGCGCAAUGGGGGAAACCCUGACGCAGCGACGCCGCGUGAGUGAGGAAGGCCUUCGGGUCGUAAAGCUCUGUCAGAUGGGAAGAAAUGGAUGGGGGCUAAUAUCGUCCAUCCUUGACGGUACCAUCAGAGGAAGCACCGGCUAACUCCGUGCCAGCAGCCGCCGUAAGAC